GUUUCCCACUUAUAACCUUUUUCUUGGAAUUCUUAUAAGCGACUACUUCUCAAAGCGUUUGAAAUCUAGUAUUAAAAAUCUCUAUCCGUAUAUUUGAGUUCUGUCAAAAAAGUUUACAAUUCCAUGAACAUUUAAGGCUCGUUCGAGGGAUGGAAGAAAUGGAGAGAGAGAUUAGGUCUGUAAAAGAGUCAAAAAGUGAAAGAUCCCUGGAGUGAUCAGCUGCAAGAGAACCUUGGACAAUUAACAUUAUUAAAUCCAUGACAUGGAUUUAGCGGCAGAUGAAAUAAGCAUUCAGGCUGCUGUGGGAGAAGCAGAAAUGCAGAUACUAGCGGAUGAGCCACCCCUCAUGCCAGCGCAACAGCAACAGGUUGUUUUGCCGCAAUCAGUAUUCGCUAAUUUAAGGGGCCCUCCAAUGACAAAAACAGUUCUUCUUUGCCAACAAAUUUACCUGCUUUUGAAUUACAGUGGUAUGAUGAUCCUCAGAAGUCUACUCAGAGUGAAAUGUUUCUCAAUGAUAAGAAUUUUUCAUUGGAAACUUCCAGAGAUCCUGGAUGCAGUGCUGGAGUUUCAGGGAUUUCAGUUCCACAUAAAGAACCGUCUAUGGCUUCAUCAUCUGCACAAGCUGAUGUAUUAAGUACAAGCCUGGUUAUCGAAACUAAAGCAAACGGGGCAUUUUGGACAAUGAAAUGAUUCAAUCAUGAACAUCCAUUAUUGUUUAUUAUCUAACUGCAAUAUAUAAUUUUAAAAUGUUUUGUGUGUAAAAUGAAUUUAAGUCAAUGUUUUUGUAGGCUAUACUUAAGAUCCUUUUAAAUUUAAACAUAUAUUUUUAAAAUUAUAGUAGGCACAUCACUAAGUAAUAGUUUUUAUAGCAUUAUUAAUCAUUUAUAAACUCGGUAAUUUUUGUUUACUCCUUGCGUCUUUUUAGAAAUUUCAGAACCAUACUCUUUUACCAUCUUUUUAGUAAAAGAAUGUCAUCAGGUUUUGUUUUAACUUCAUUGCUCAACGAAUCUUAGAGCAACUUAAAAUAAUGAUUAUUUUCAUUCAGAUUGUGAUUAUGAAUAUUGACCAAAUUUUAUAUAGUUCCCUGUGUAUAUGGUGAUGCUUCACAUGUUGUACUAACAUUUCCUGACAAAUUUUAUGAAAGCUUACAAUCUUGCCAGGUAACUUAAUUGGUUUGCAUAUUAUCUUAAUCUGUUCCUUACUCGUUAUCAUUACCCUUCUCAUUUUGUAGUGCAUUUUUAAAAAUUUUUUUGUCUUUAAUAUAGAUAGUUACAAGAGAUCAUACUGUAUAUCUUUUACCAGUAAUGCUGCCUCUCAUUAAUUUCUGUAUAAUUUCAACUUGUAUUGUCACCAUUAGAGUAAAACACAUUUUGAUCUAAACUUUUAGUUUAUAAUUUGUGUGCAUUGUCUUUCUUCUUAAUAAGAAAAUUAUGUUCAUUGAUUGUAUUGGUUGAAAGGAAAAAAAUGUCUUCUUUUUUCAGUUGUGAAAGUCUCAGUUCUGGAGAAGAUGACAGGGCUUUGGGAAGUUGCCCUUUGGAUUCCGAACCAGAAAAAAAAAAAAGGUUGAAACUUCAUUUGGCGGGAAUUCUCUUUCAUUCUGCUUAUAGUUCUGUGAUAAUAGGUGUCUGCAAUUGAAUCUGCCAAUGAAUCCAAUUUCUAACAAUCUGCAAUUAGCACCAACAUCUGUUCGACAGAUAGUUGAAGAAUAUGAAAUGCCAUUCCAGUGAAAUUGAUUUUUGUUGUUGAUACUGAUAAAAAAACAAAAAAAUUAUCAUACUAGAAAUUUUUUACUAAAAAUGCCAAUUUAUACUUGAGGAUGAAAUUCAUUUAUGCUUGUAUCAAACAAUCCAUGAUAAUGUAAGAUAAGGGAACUUAAUUUUGACUAUAACUUUUGAAUUAGAUUUUGUUAACAUCAAUGUCGUAUGGAUGGCUUUUGUUUAUUAUUUUCAGAAAUAUAUGAUAUUAUAAUACUAGAUAUAACUUUUAAUUAAGUCAUAUUAGAUUACAGAAUUUUUUAAAAACUUGCUUUUGAAUGCAUCUUUUGUAUUUAUAUAUUACACAU